GACGAACGCUGGCGGCGUGCCUAAUACAUGCAAGUAGAACGCACAGUUUAUACCGUAGCUUGCUACACCAUAAACUGUGAGUUGCGAACGGGUGAGUAACGCGUAGGUAACCUGCCUGGUAGCGGGGGAUAACUAUUGGAAACGAUAGCUAAUACCGCAUAAUAUUGAUUAUUGCAUGAUAAUUUAUUGAAAGAUGCUAUUGCAUCACUACUAGAUGGACCUGCGUUGUAUUAGCUAGUAGGUGAGGUAACGGCUCACCUAGGCGAAGAUACAUAGCCGAACUGAGAGGGGGAUCGGCCAAACUGGGAAUGAGACACGGCCCAGAAGCCUACGGGAGGCAGCAGUAGGGAAUCUUCGGCAAUGGACGAAAGUCUGACCGAGAAACGCCGCGUGAGUGAAGAAGGUUGUCGGAUCGUAAAGCUCUGUUGUAAGAGAAGAACGGGUGUGAGAGUGGAAAGUUCACACUGUGACGGUAUCUUACCAGAAAGGGACGGCUAACUACGUG
rnacentral:rRNA from 1 species